UCGGGAAUUUUGGGCAAUGGGCGAAAGCCUGACCCAGCAACGCCGCGUGAGUGAAGAAGGCCUUCGGGUUGUAAAGCUCUUUUACCAGGGACGAUAAUGACGGUACCUGGAGAAUAAGCCCCGGCAAACUUCGUGCCAGCAGCCGCGGUAAUACGAAGGGGGCUAGCGUUGUUCGGAAUUACUGGGCGUAAAGCGCACGUAGGCGGAUUGUUAAGUCAGAGGUGAAAUCCCGGAGCUCAACUUCGGAACUGCCUUUGAUACUGGCAAUCUAGAGUCCGGAAGAGGUUAGUGGAAUUCCCAGUGUAGAGGUGAAAUUCGUAGAUAUUGGGAAGAACACCAGUGGCGAAGGCGGCUAACUGGUCCGGUACUGACGCUGAGGUGCGAAAGCGUGGGGAGCAAACAGGAUUAGAUACCCCUGUAGUCCCUGAGCGGGCUGGCAAGGCGCAU
rnacentral:rRNA from 1 species